UUGAGCCACUUGUACAACAUUUUGCAGAAGCACCCCGCAUGUCAGACGGACUACUUGUUUCUAUUUCUCUCGGGAAAGAAACAGAAGUUUCGAGUACCCCUCCUAAAGAUCAAAGUCGCUACACACGGUGCAAAUCUCUCGGUCUCUCUCCCGACGCGAGAGGCGGUUUCCAGGCGGGCUGCCUCCGCUGGUCUCCAUCGCCUCCGGUAAGCCGUCGGGCUCUCGGAGGUGUGCGGGACAGUGUACGACCGUGAUGCGGUUGUAGAUAAUGUUGUUUUAGGAUUUUAUUCUGGCACUGGCGGGCAGGCAGGGGCGACGUCAAUGCUAUGGGAUAAGGUUCCCCCUGGCUCCUUUCCCGUCUCUGCGGUGCUCCCUCCGGCCGGUGGCACUGUGGGGUUAGGGAGGUUGGCCUCUCUCUUAUCCAGCGAGGUUUGGUCGGUGAUGGGGGUGCACAAUAGUAUAGAAGUUGGGAUUUGUGGAGAGGGAUUCCCAGAUCAGGUCGCCUCGGACGGCCGACAGCUGCACACUGUUGCGGGCGAAGUGGUUUGAGUUGCGGCUCCACUCCGUCGUAGGCUACCGCUGGUCAAGGGAUCACUUGGUCUACCCCAGGCCGAUGCACCGGAACCCUCCCUGGUUCCGUCUUUUGGGGCGGGACUUAUAUGCGGCUCACAAAGCCAUGGAUCGGUGAUGCUGCUCCUCAUGCCCGUUGUCUUGUGGAUGACGGCUAGCACCGGCGAGUGCAGAGAUCAGCGUGCCUAGGUGAAUAAGGAAGAUGAACUGGGCUGUAAGUUACUUUGUUUGCUCUGUCGGUGUUAUUCCCUUUAGUGUUAUCUCUGCCUCUCUAGUUCUCAAGCUCCAACGACAUGCCCUUUUUUGUGCUGGCCAUGGAGGCUAGCAGCGGCAGGACUGCCAUGACUAGGCCGCGCAAUAUUUCUAACAGUGUUGAGCUACUCGUUCCCGACAGCUCCGAUGCCAAGCUGCCAAUAGAAGCAGAGCAGGUAUGUGUGUGAUGGAUCUUUUAAUGAUAAGUUUGCUUCCUGUUCGAUUAGGUGCAUAUUUCGCAAGGUAAUGUUGUUCUAUCAUGUCUCUGAUUUUGAUUUUGAUUUUGAUUUUUUCUGCAGAUUUCAGGAUAUAGAAGGCAGCUUCAGGAAGGGGUCGCUGACGAGGUGAGGCCAUUGCGUCUAUUCUUGUGUUAGUUUGUUUCAAAGAAAUCACACUAAUUUCUCUCAGUAUACUCUAUAGAGAAAUAAGUACUGAAGCAGGCUUCACCGAAGACUACUGAUCUAGAAUUGUCUGUUGCUGAAAUAAGUCCAGGAGCUAUGGAGCAGGCUGAACAAUUUUCUGUUGAUUUUACUCAAUGGAUUGUCCCUGUAAUUUGACCAAACGUCAUGUCGCCGUGCCACUGAAGUUUUUGCACAGAAUUCUUGUCUUUUUGGGUGGUGCCAAGCUGUCUUUUUGUUGAACAAUGCCACAAUUGCAUAGUUGUAAGUUAUUUAGGAUUGUCUCUAUUGCAUACGACCUGGAGUUACAAGAGGUCCAGUACUAAUUUUGUGUAUGUAUGUACAUGUGCAGUCGCCCAUUUUCUAUACACAUGAUUCCAAAACAUCUUUUACUGUACAUUUUGUUUCUUUGCUCGGUACAAAAUGUAUUGCAAGUGUUGUUCAUUUUUUUCCCUUCUGUAAAUAUACUAGAGACCCUCUAAGGGCUCAGUUUUCUUCCCGUUGUCUGAAUAUACCCAGAUUUAUUUUGUGUGUGCGUAUUUAACAAAGCAUUUAGUUAACC
rnacentral:lncRNA from 1 species